rnacentral:rRNA from 1 species
AUACAGAGGGUGCGAGCGUUAAUCGGAAUUACUGGGCGUAAAGGGUACGUAGGCGGCUCCUUAAGUCCGAUGUGAAAUCCCCGUGCUUAACAUGGGAAUUGCACCGGAUACUGGGUAGCUAGAGUAUAGUAGAGGAGAGUGGAAUUUCUAGUGUAGCGGUGAAAUGCGUAGAUAUUAGAAGGAACACCAGUGGCGAAGGCGACUCUCUGGACUAAUACUGACGCUGAGGUACGAAAGCGUGGGGAGCAAACAGGAUUAGAAACCCUAGUAGUCC